GCCUUCGUGCUGUAGUGAUCAACACGCUCGACCGUAACCGAGAGGUCCGUGGUUCGAUUCUCGGCGAGGGCA
rnacentral:tRNA from 1 species